UUUUUGUUUUUUGUUUUUUGUUUUUUUACUGCUUAUGCUCUAGUAUCCUAGCUCUCCCAACACCAUUAUCCUAAGUGAUGGAAAGUCUUGAAUAUUUGCAUAACUAUGUAGAAGAUGUAUGGCUCAAAGGAUAGACUCUUCCUGAUGCAGCCAGAUGUAUCUUUCUUCCAAGUGUGUGUAGUCACUUCCCACUCCUUUUCCUUAUCUACAUGCCCCCUUUUAAGGGAAUGACCUUCUAGUUUGGAGAAGGAAAGUCAUUGUGAAGGCUUUGAUGGGUUGAUGAAUGAGUAGAAGGUGAAGAAAUUAAGACAUGUAGAAACAGCUCUUUUGAGAGUUUGGUCAUGAGAGUAAGGCCAAAGAUCCUCAGUAUUUGCUCACUAAACGGAGUAAAAUUUCUGGAGAAAUGGUAGGUCUAAUUUGGUAGAAUUUAGUAGGGGAAACGGUUCCAUUACCAUGUUUGGGGAUUCAGAGAAUGUGUAUGAAAUCCUCAUGAGUUUUUUUUUGUUUGUUUGUUUUUUUAUUUCGUUUGGGUUGUUAUCAUGUUCUGUUACUAGUCUUAUUAAGGCUGCUGAGGCUGCUUCAAAAAUCCUGCCAUCUUCCUACCAUCUGUAAAAUAGUUUCUGGUUGAAGAAGGUUCUGUCUGGACUUUUCUCUCUAGAAGAAAAGUCACAGGUAUCUGAGAUAGUGGCAAAGGCGAGCCAGCAUUAGUAAAGCGUCUUAGGAUGUUCUGUUUAUCUCUUGUUGUCUUACCACCACCCCAAGAUGGAACAGUGAAACAGCAAAGAUUUUAUUAUGCUCACAGAUUCUGCGGGUCAGAAUUUGGUGGGAGUCCAGGGGGAAUGUUCCAUUUCCACUCCAUAGCAUUUAGGGCUCAAGCUUGGUUAACUGAGAAAUUCUUGACUCUGUUGGCUUCAGCUGCCUCCUCUUCAUGUGACAAUACUCCUGGCGCAUAAAGAAGUUGGGAAAAGGUUUUACCUACCUAGGACUGCCUGCAUACAUUAGAUUCUUAAGUGUCUUUCUGCCAGCUAGAAGAGUUCAUUAUGUUUUUAAUGUGAUUAAGAAAUUAAAAUAAAAUAGUGACUUUUAUAUACAGACGUUGAUGAAAGAUGUGUUUUUAAAGCAGUAAAUUAAAAUCUCAUUAAUAUUUCAGUGAGAAUAUUUUGUGCUUAUCUGUUUCAUCUCUAUUUUUGACCUAUGGCUUAGAGUUCACAGCAUGAAGGAGAUGGUGAAAUCUGUUCACCAUAAAAUGUUAAUUAUAAGUAAAUUACAGCACAAACGUUCAAUCAGCCACAUUAAUUCUACAUAAAGUGAAUUAUUGUAGCAGAAAAUUUUGAAAUGUGACUGAAUUCUGUAAUCUUGGAGUUUCCUAUUUCUACCUCUCACACCAACCCUGCUCCCCAUGCGUUUAUUCCAGAAACUCUGAGCUCUUUGUGCAGCGUGGGGCUCAUUCUCCUCACUGUGUUUCGAAAGUUAAAUAUCUUGUGUGCAUCCCCCAUCUCUCCAAAUGAUUCUGAAUUGUACACAACUCUGUUUACCCCAUGGCAGCUUAAAUGCAAGCUUUGAUAUUUUUUCAAGCAGAGAGUUGGGCUUUUAAAAUGAAGAUGUUGGGUUUGUCACAUGAAAGAGUUUUCUCCUAAAAUAUGAUCAAAAGGUCCUCCCAUAUGACAUGUAAAUAUAUUCACACUUAAUUGACAUUUUAUAAUAUAGAAUAUGUGCUAUAAUCUAUAUAUUUAUAUAUGUUGAUAUUUACAUAUCUGUACAUGUGUCUGUAUAUGGGAAUAUACAUAUAUAUAUAUAAUAUGUGUCAUUUUCUCCUGGAUUUAGGUCUGUUUUAAAGUUUCAAACUUCUUAAAAAUUGCUUUUAUGGCCAAAAACAAUGGAUCUUCUGUCUGGGAUCAUUUUUUAGUUAACAGAGACAUACUGAGGGAUGCAGAUAUUUUACCCAAAGAGUAAUAAUAAUUUAGAAAAUACUUCAACCACCCAAACUGCAUGUGGCUCAUUCUUUCAUCUACAUUAAUUGUUCAUUAAUAAUAAAAAUAGUGAUGCUUCCUUGAAUAAGAACACUUCUAUAUAUUCAUUUUGUAAUUAAAAACAGGGAUACUGCUCAUUCAUACUGGCAUAUUUAAUGCAGUGACUAGAUGUUGGACUCAAGAGAACCCACAGAUUUCACAAAACACUUGAGGGUGGGAGGACUUUUGAUUACUUGGUUAAAGUGCCAACUGAACUCAAGUAUCAAUGAGUCUAAAGGAAUUGCAUAACAGGGAUUCUCAGCUCCUCACCGUUCUCUCAUCUAAGGUAUUUUGUGAUGGAUCUGGUCUGCCUCCUUCCACUUAUCAAGGUCUAAUGCAUCCCCUUCGGAUCUAGAGAGUUAAUUUGGGUCGUAUUCUGGAGGAUCCCAUACAGUUCCCUGAGUCAGAAGCUGCCAGCUCUCUCCAGUCUUAUCUGACUCACUGUGGCAACAGUCUUUCUCAGGUCUCCACUCUGAUCUCAUGAGGACACCAUGAUUUCAUGGAACAAGAAGCAUACAGAACACAUGUAUUGUUCCUUACCAUGGUGUGUCUUCUGUAUUGAGGAUCAGUGUUCCCAUUAGUUGAAAGUAGAAUCUUUGCUUGGUUGCCUCAGAUAAGUAUUAAAUUUCAUUUAAUACUCAUGAAACUCAACAGAAGGCUGAAGCAGCCAAGAAAAAGAGAAAUGCUUUAUAGACUGCGUUAAUAAGGAAGAUGCAGAAAUGGAAAUCAUAUUACCAUUAAGAGAGAAAGACUCCCACUCUAAGAGGGAUGAGGGAAGGAAUUUCCAAUUUGCUAAUGGCAGAAGCUGUUAAUCUACAAAUGUAUGCAGGCAUUGCUGAUUCCUCCUUUGACAUACUCAGAAAACCUUGAGGAUUAAAAUAUCUGAGAGAGGCAGAAUUAGAAAUCUGGUACCAUUAAAAAGAAAAGGGGCAUCUGCUUCCUAAGAGGCAAAAUCUUCUAAAUAAAUUAGCCAAAUAAACAAUAUAGUAAAGUUCAAAUGACAGUUACUUCAGUUUGAAACCAUAGAUAAAAAUAUGAAGAAAAACAAAGACGAUGCGCUGCGUCUGUUAUAAUUUUCCUCCCCUUUAGAGUCUAACUUUUCAAUCUGGGCUCUGUGUAUCUUCUACUGUCCUUUUCUACCAUGUAGAAAAUCAUCAAUACAUUCACAAGAUGUUAGAUGCCUGCAUUUUUCUUUUAUAGAAUAAUGACUGGUGUUUUUAUAAAAAUUAUACAUGUUACUUUAUUCAAUUAAAAAUGGCAAAGCACAAUUUCACUAAAAAUUUCACCACUCAAAAAUAGUCAUCUUUCAGAUUUGAGAAACAUUUUUCCCAGCGUUUGUUUACCACAUAUAUAUAAAAGAAAAGAGAGAAGAGUGUGGGAGAUGGAGACAGAGAAUGAAAGACGUGAGAAAAAACUGAAUUUCAAAAAAGGGAUUAUGUCUGUAUGACAUUGCAACAAGUAGUAAAUGUAAUGGUACUAGAUUUUGUUAUAUGGAAUUUAACAAAAAAAUUAUAAGAAUGAAACUGAAGGAUUUUUUGAUUCUUUGGAAAAGAAUAUUUUUCAUUCGCGUGUAUUUCUUAAAUGAUCUAUGAUUAAGGAAAAAAGAUUUUGAAAAAUCUUUGUCUGGAUCCUUACUUGUUUAACUUCAUGUUUCAAUGUUGUAUAGCACUGGUUACUCUCCGCUUAAAAGAUGAGAAUUUGCACACAGCCACCCAAUUUCCUUCCUCUGCUACCUGUUUUUAAUUGUUUAUUGCCUUACCUGGUCAUUUUUUUAACAUUUGUCAACUUGUUCUGAACCACCAAUACUACAUUAAUUGUGUCAUGUUUGCAUACUUCUAUAUUUAAAUACUGGUUCAGUGCUCAACUCAAGUUUUUAUUUUUUAUUUUUUUUUAAAUUUUUUUAUUUUAUUUUAUUUUAUUUUGUCUUUUUGUUGUUGUUGUUGUUGCUAUUUCUUGGGCCGCUCCCUCGGCAUAUGGAGGUUCCCAGGCUAGGGGUUGAAUCGGAGCUGUAGCCACCAGCCUACGCCAGAGCCACAGCAACGCUGGAUCCGANACAUUGCAACAAUGCUCAACUCAAGUUUUUAGAUCCAUGUCCUCCAUUCUUGUGUUUUUGUUUUUACAUUGUUUUUCUUUGAGUUGGAUAAAUGUUAUUUUUAAGAAGACUUUUAGAAGAUAGGUGCCAUAUUCUAAGUUCUUGCAUGAUUGAGAACGUCUGUGGUCUUUACACUCAAAGAGCAGUAUAAAGGCAUAGAACAUAAAAUAAGAAUGAAGAAGAAUAAAUGAAUAAUCAAAAAGGAUAUUCCAGUUGGCUAUGAAAAUUUCAGAUUAUACUUUCUUUCCCUCAGAACUUUGUAGACUUUUCUCCAUUGUCUCUUGGCAGUCAGUACUUUUCUUUCAUUAUCAAGUUGUCAGUCAUUUUUUGUUUCAUUGGUAGGUGGGCUCAUGGAUUUCAUCCUCUGAGUUCCUUCAUAUUUGAGAAUAUCUCAAUGUUGUGAUUACAUCUGAACAUCAGUUUGACAAGAUAUGCUAUUCUGUAAAGAACACUUUCUUUUUAGAACUUUGUAAAUUGUGCUUCCUUGUCUUUUGGGAUUAAAACCUAUGGAGAAUUUGGAGGCUCAUCUUUUUCUGUUUUUAGAGCACUUGAUUUUUCUACCUAAAUAACUGAAGACUUUUUUCUUUAUCUUUAAACUAAAGCAGGAUAUUCUCAGCGUCAAAUACUCUGUAUCAGAUUUUCCUAGAAUAUGCUGUACCCUUAGCUUGAUAAAGCUUUUUCUUCUUCUUUUAAGACAUUUUUUUUUGCCCCUUAUAUAUGAUUUUAUCCCUGUCUAUUGUAUGCUCUGCUUCAAGGACAUUGAUUAUUCUUUUUCUAUUAUAUUCCCUAUUUUUUCCCUUUUCCUUUUCAUUUACGGAGAUUACCUCUAGACUUUCCCCUAUGCUGCUAAUUCUGUCUUUAGUCUUGUUUAUUCUAACCUACAUGUGCUAAUUUAUUUAUUAAUUAUGUGAUGAUGUUUUUAUGUACAAUUUGUCUCCUAAGUUCCAUGGUCUUUUUUUGUAUCAUUAUGUUAUUUUAAUAGCUUACCAGCUAGUAUAUUUGCACCAUAUUAAACUAUUUUAGUAUAUUUGCACCAUAUCAAACUUUUCUAUAACACAUGAAGUACUCAAAAAGAAAUUUUGUUUUUUCUUGGGUUGUAUUUUCUCCUAGACGGACGUUCCGUCUCUCAUUUGCUUGUCUUAUUUCUUUUUUAAUGUUCUUUUUUUCAUCAUUAAUGUGAAAUCUGGAGUUCCCAUUGUGGUCCAGUGGUAAUGAAUCUUCUGAGGAACCAUCAGGAUGUGGGUUCAAUCACUGGCCUUGCUCAGUGGGUUAACAAUCCAAUGUUGCUGCAAGCUGUGGUAUGGGCUCGCAGCUAUAGCUCUAAUUCGAUCCCUAGCCUGGUAAUUUCCAUAUGCCACACAUGUGGCCCUAAAAACAAAAAACAAACCCCAAAAAUGAGUGAAAUCUUUCAAGAUCCUGGCUUAAUAUGGUCUAGUCCCUAAUUAGAUUCAUAACCCUAUAUGAACUCUGAGCAUAUUGAUAUCUGUCCCCCAUCACAUACAGCAAGGCUGUCAAAACCAAAAUUCAAAUUUGCAGGUGUGGCACAUAUGCUCAUUGACAAAUGAGAUAAAGAGGGCCUCUCUUGCUGGAGGAGAGUUCUUUAGUUUGACCAGCUCCCGGAUCUCUCAACACUCAGUGCUUUAAAGGUGGUUUUUGUUUUUGUUUUCUUUACUAUUUCAUUCAGCAUAUGACGUUGUUUUCAGGAGAAGGUCUUUUCUAAAAGGAUUAGUUUGCUAUUAUUGAAAGUGGAAGUCCCUUCAUGUUACUCAAACAUUCAUUCUCCGACUUAUUUUGUUCUUACUCAGUAUGUGAAGCCUUGUGGAGGUCUUCUCCUUGUGCUGAUAGAUGGUGGGUAAAUUUUUUUUGACUGCCCUUCCUCCUUGAUCUGAGAGCUGUCUUUCCUCUCAGCAACAGCUAAAUGUGUUCUUUCCUGUUUUCUGUAUCAUGAAUGUUUUGAAGGAAUAAGUAUUCUGACAGCGUUGCCUCAGAGACCCAGGGGCUCUUCUCCUUUUCCUGAAGUUUUAUUAAAUGUCCUUCGUCAGGGUUCACUUCCCCUAGCUGAGAAUAUAUCUUACUGUUCUAGAGCCCCCGACCCUCCAAAUUUUUGAGUUUUUCCUGCCCCUAAUAAGACGCUGAGCUCUUUUAGCAGUAGGCUUCUGUAUUAAGAUUGAGGGCUUCUAUUCUUGAAAUUACUUUCCUAACAGACUCACAAAUACAGAGAACAAACAGGUAGUUAUUAGAGGGAAGGUGUGAAGGAGGUGAGAAACAGGGAUUAAGAGGGACAAACUUCCAGUUACAAAAUAAGUGAGUCAUGGGUAUGAAAUGUACAGUGGGGGGGACAUAGUCAAUAGUUAUGUAAUAUCUUUCUAUGGUGACAGAUGGUAACUAGACUUAUUGUGGGGAUCAUUCUGAAACAGGUAGAAAUUCAAAUCACGCUGCUCUGCACCAGAACUAACAUAGGAUUGUAGGUCAGUUAUACUCAAAAAGCAAACAAACUCAUAGUGAGGUUAGAUUGGGGGUCACUAGAGGUAGGGGUGAAGGAAGGAGAAAUUGGAUGAAAAUAGUCAAAAGGUACAACUUUUCAGUCACAAACUAACUAAGUACUAGGGAAUGUAAUAUACAAUGUGGUAAAUAUCAUUAUCACCACUGUAUAUGCAUGUAUAAAAGAUGUUAAGGGAGUUCCCGCUGUGGCUCAGCAGGUCAUGAACCCAACUAGUAUCCAUGAGGAUGCAGGUUUGACCCCUAGCCUCGAUUGGUGGGUUAAGGAUCCAGCAUUGCCAGGAACUGUGGCGUAGGUUGCAGGCAUGGCUCAGAUCCCUCGUGGCUGUGGCUGUGGCAUAGGCAGGCAGCUACAGCUCUGAUUUGACCCCUAGCCUGGGAACCUCCAUAUGCGGCAGGUGGCAGCCCUAAAAAGAAAAAGCAAAAACUGUUAAGACAGUAAGUCCUAAGAUUCUCACCACAAGGGAAACUUUUUUUUUUCCUAUUCCUUCUAUUUUGAAGUUUCAAUAAAGUUGACUAAUUUUUACCCCCCAAAAGGUCUUUGUAUGAGAUAAUGGAAGUUCACUAAACUUAUUGUUAUAAUCAUUUCAUGAUCUAAGUAAGUCAAAUCAGCAUGCUCUACACCUUAAACUUAUACAGUGCUCUCUGUCAAUUCAAUUUCAAUAAAAGGAGAAGAAAAAAUUGCUUUUCUGACUCAACUCAAGGUGUCUUUGCAAGCCUUGGGUUCUUUUGUCUUCAUAUUGUAAGGUAUUCAGGGAAAUUUCUAACUAUUUUCUCUGUUUCUUUUAACUCAUUCUAGGGUUGAGGGUAAAAUAAGUAGCUUUGGGACUCUUCAAAAUAAUUUUCUUCUUCUUGACCACCUGAUAUUUUUUGAAGCUUAUGGCUUGAGGUUCUACCAUUUUCUUUGUCAAUUGUUGGUGAACAUCUUACUGAUUUUUCACUACUUUUCAUUCUUUUUGUUUGAUGUCAGAGCAAGGAGAUUCUAUCUUCCCCUAAAUCUAAGAUUCUGCAUGUUAACAGAAGCUGACUUAGAGAUAUUGGUACUAUACCAAAGGAAUGACUGUAUCUCUUCAUUUGGGUUCUCCCAGAGAUAAACCCUGAGACAAAUAUUUCAGUAAAAAUAACUUAUUUGUAAGGUGAUCCCACGAGGAACUGGGAGAAGUGAAGGGGAAAAAGGGGGAAGAAAAAGAUGCUAACAAAGAGAAUGUAUUGGCAAGCAUGUUGCCAUUGUGGUCAACUGGAGCUUAAUUUUACCGGCAAAACUCAGGGAAGAGUUUAGAACCCAUGUCACAGUUCUCCCACUCUUUCCCUCAAGGGAAAAGGAAGCUGGUGGAUUUACACACUAAUUCCUGUCAUUCCAGACAUGUUGAGACUGUUCCCAGUGUC
rnacentral:lncRNA from 1 species